GAAAUGCGAUAAGUAAUGUGAAUUGCAGAAUUCAGUGAAUCAUCGAAUCUUUGAACGCACAUUGCGCCCGCCAGCAUUCUGGCGGGCAUGCCUGUUUUUCGCUUUUCGUUUUCUCCUACCCAUAUCGUUUGAUGCAACAAUGAUGCCAUUUUUCUUGAGUGUCUGAGGAGUUUUAGUCUACUAUGUGUUUUUCAAUUAUUGUAAAGCCCUUUUAUGGGGCUUUUUAUAAUAAUUCAAAACCCUAUUUUUUAAAACCGUGACCUCAAAUCAGACAAGACUACCCGCUGAACUUAA
rnacentral:misc_RNA from 1 species